GCUUACCACAAGGCUGACUGUGGACGUACUCUGGAAUCUGUCAUCGGCUGUCCUCAAACAGCCAGUAUCCAAACACGCGGGUACCAAAAACAUACCUCAAACAGUGGGUAUCCAAACAGGAAGCUGAUUCUCUCCUGGUGAAACCACACAAAAUGUCAUCAACAUAAUGAAUGAUAUAACAAUCCAAAAUCUUGUUUCUAACUGGAUGAAGAGCCUGAGCUACAAAAGUCUGACAAAUAGUUGGAUUAUUAAGCAUUCCCUGAGGCAACACUUUCCACUGAAAUCGGGAGUCUGGUUCUUUAUUAUUUAUG
rnacentral:lncRNA from 10 species